rnacentral:rRNA from 1 species
UACGUAGGGGGCAAGCGUUGUCCGGAUUUAUUGGGCGUAAAGAGCGUGUAGGCGGCCAAGCAGGUCCGCUGUGAAAACUCGAGGCUCAACCUCGAGACGUCGGUGGAAACCGUUUGGCUAGAGUCCGGAAGAGGAGAGUGGAAUUCCCGGUGUAGCGGUGAAAUGCGCAGAUAUCGGGAAGAACACCCGUGGCGAAGGCGGUUCUCUGGGCCUGUACUGACGCUGAGGAGCGAAAGCGUGGGGAGCGAACAGG